rnacentral:lncRNA from 1 species
GGGGGGGCGCCGAAAAGGGCGUCGCCGAGGGCGCGGUGGAGGGCCUCGAAGUCGUCGAAGGCGAGGCCGGCGGCGCCGGGGCGGAUGUAGGCGGCGACGGUGGAGGCGAGCUCGGUGGGGUCGGCGCCAAGGCCGAGGCGGUCGAGGGCCUGGCAGAUCUCCUCGACGGUGAUCUCGCCGUCGCCGUUCCGGUCGAAGAGGUCGAAUACGCGCCGGAGGCGGAGGUUGUUG